AACGAUGAAGACCGUGCUUGCACGGUUGGAUUAGUGGCGAACGGGUGAGUAUCACGUGAGUAACCUUCCCUUAACUCUGGGAUAAGCCCGGGAAACUGGGUCUAAUACCGGAUACGACCAGUCCUCGCAUGGGGUGCUGGUGGAAAGAUUUAUCGGUUUUGGAUGGACUCGCGGCCUAUCAGCUUGUUGGUGAGGUAAUGGCUCACCAAGGCGAUGACGGGUAGCCGGCCUGAGAGGGUGACCGGCCACACUGGGACUGAGACACGGCCCAGACUCCUACGGGAGGCAGCAGUGGGGAAUAUUGCACAAUGGGCGAAAGCCUGAUGCAGCGACGCCGCGUGCGGGAUGACGGCCUUCGGGUUGUAAACCGCUUUCAGCAGGGAAGAAGCGCAAGUGACGGUACCUGCAGAAGAAGCGCCGGCUAACUACGUGCCAGCAGCCGCGGUAAUACGUAGGGCGCGAGCGUUAUCCGGAAUUAUUGGGCGUAAAGAGCUCGUAGGCGGUUUGUCACGUCUGCUGUGAAAGCCCGGGGCUCAACCCCGGGUGUGCAGUGGGUACGGGCAGACUAGAGUGCAGUAGGGGAGACUGGAAUUCCUGGUGUAGCGGUGAAAUGCGCAGAUAUCAGGAGGAACACCGAUGGCGAAGGCAGGUCUCUGGGCUGUUACUGACGCUGAGGAGCGAAAGCAUGGGG
rnacentral:rRNA from 1 species